rnacentral:rRNA from 1 species
CCUACGGGGAGCUGCAGUGGGGAAUAUUGGACAAUGGGCGAAAGCCUGAUCCAGCCAUGCCGCGUGUGUGAAGAAGGCCUUCGGGUUGUAAAGCACUUUCAGUGGGGAAGAAAGCCUUGGGGCUAAUACCCUCGAGGAAGGACAUCACCCACAGAAGAAGCACCGGCUAACUCCGUGCCAGCAGCCGCGGUAAUACGGAGGGUGCGAGCGUUAAUCGGAAUUACUGGGCGUAAAGCGGGCGUAGGCGGUCUGAUAAGCCGGUUGUGAAAGCCCCGGGCUCAACCUGGGAACGGCAUCCGGAACUGUCAGGCUAGAGUGCAGGAGAGGAAGGUAGAAUUCCCGGUGUAGCGGUGAAAUGCGUAGAGAUCGGGAGGAAUACCAGUGGCGAAGGCGGCCUUCUGGACUGACACUGACGCUGAGGUGCGAAAGCGUGGGUAGCAAACAGGAUUAGAUACCCCGGUAGUC